rnacentral:tRNA from 1 species
GGUGGCUUAAUGGUAGAGUGCUUGCCUUGCAUGCAUUAGGCCCUGGGUUCGAUUCCUCAGCACCA